GAUGGCUCAGAAGAUGUAUUUGGUUCAAGAUUGGAGGGGGCGUUCCAGACCUCCACUUUGGCCAGUGAGGUAUCCACCCUAGAAAAUCGGAAUAAGUGGUUGCAGGCAAGCAAAGCAUAUGAUGGUGUCCCUGUGAUGUUCAGAUGGCUCAGAAGAUGUAUUUGGUUCAAGAUUGGAUGGGGAGUGGCAGACCUCCACUUUGGCCAGUGAGGUGAGUGGCUGUGGCAGACUGCAUGAUGCGUCCAAACCCUUCUGAUCAGACUGAUCCU
rnacentral:lncRNA from 1 species